rnacentral:rRNA from 1 species
UAGGGAAUAUUGGGCAAUGGAGGGAACUCUGACCCAGCCAUGCCGCGUGCAGGAUGAAGUAUUUCGGUAUGUAAACUUCGUAAGAAUAGGAAGAAUAAAUGACGGUACUAUUUGUAAGGUCCGGCUAACUACGUGCCAGCAGCCGCGGUAAUACGUAGGGACCAAGCGUUGUUCGGAUUUACUGGGCUUAAAGGGUGCGUAGGCGGUGCGGUAAGUGCGGUGUGAAAUCCCACGGCUCAACCGUGGAAUUGCGCUGCAUACCUGCCGUGCUAGAGGGAGACAGGGGUAAGCGGAACUGAUGGUGGAGCGGUGAAAUGCGUUGAUAUCAUCAGGAACACCGGUGGCGAAAGCGGCUUACUGGGUCUCUUCUGACGCUGAGGCACGAAAGCUAGGGUAGCGAACGGGAUUAGAUACCCUAGUAGUCCCUGAGCGGGCUGGCAAGGCGCAU